rnacentral:rRNA from 1 species
CUGCCUUAGGGGAUCAGCCUAUAGUGCACGUCGUACGCACGAAAGUUUAUUCGGGUGCGCCGGACAUGUUACUGCGUGAGAUUUUAACACGUUUUGAGUGGCGAACGGGUGAGUAACACGUGGGUAACCUGCCCAGAAGUAGGGGAUAACACCUGGAAACAGAUGCUAAUACCGUAUAACAGAGAAAACCGCAGGUUUUCUUUUAAAAGAUGGCUCUGCUAUCACUUCUGGAUGGACCCGCGGCGUAUUAGCUAGUUGGUGAGGUAAAGGCUCACCAAGGCAGUGAUACGUAGCCGACCUGAGAGGGUAAUCGGCCACAUUGGGACUGAGACACGGCCCAGACUCCUACGGGAGGCAGCAGUAGGGAAUCUUCCACAAUGGACGCAAGUCUGAUGGAGCAACGCCGCGUGAGUGAAGAAGGGUUUCGGCUCGUAAAGCUCUGUUGUUAAAGAAGAACGUGGGUAAGAGUAACUGUUUACCCAGUGACGGUAUUUAACCAGAAAGCCACGGCUAACUACGUGCCAGCAGCCGCGGUAAUACGUAGGUGGCAAGCGUUAUCCGGAUUUAUUGGGCGUAAAGCGAGCGCAGGCGGUCUUUUAAGUCUAAUGUGAAAGCCUUCGGCUCAACCGAAGAAGUGCAUUGGAAACUGGGAGACUUGAGUGCAGAAGAGGACAGUGGAACUCCAUGUGUAGCGGUGAAAUGCGUAGAUAUAUGGAAGAACACCAGUGGCGAAGGCGGCUGUCUGGGUCUGCAACUGACGCUGAGGCUCGAAAGCAUGGGGUAGCGAACAGGAUUAGAUACCCUGGUAGUCCAUGCCGUAAACAGAUGAUACCCAAUGUUUGAGGGUGUUCCCCCCUUAAUGCGCCACAUAACGCAUUAAAUAAUCCGCCUGGGGAGUACGACCGCAGGUUGAAACUCAAAGAAUUGACCGGGCCCCGCACCAGCCGGUGGAGCAUGUGGUUUAAUUCGAAGCGUACGCGGAAGAACCUUACCAGGUGCUUGACAUCUGUCUGACAGUCUAAAGAAGAUUAAAGGUUCCUUUCGGGACAGAAUGGACGAGUAGGUGCAUGGGUUGUCGUUCAGCUCAUGUUCCUGAGAAUGUGAGGUGAGUACUCGCAACGAACCCAAACCUUUAUUACUUAGUUUACAACAUCUAAGUUGGGGCACUCUAAGUAGAGCGUGCGUGACAAACGCAGGAAG